UAUUACGCAAUGGGGUGUCCCGGUCGAAAAGCCGGGGCUGAGAUGAUACUCAAAGAACCUGAUCCGGGUAAUGCCGGCGUAGGGAAUAGCGAAAAGGAUACAG
rnacentral:ncRNA from 2 species